AGAGUUUGAUCAUGGCUCAGAACGAACGCUGGCGGCAGGCUUAACACAUGCAAGUCGAACGGUUGUAGCAAUACAGCAGUGGCGCACGGGUGAGUAACGCGUGGAUAUCUGCCUUUGGUUCGGAAUAACUCCGGGAAACUGGAGCUAAUACCGGAUGGUUCCUGCGGGAUAAAGAUUUAUCGCCAAAAGAUGAGUCCGCGUACGAUUAGCUAGUUGGUGAGGUAAUGGCUCACCAAGGCGACGAUCGUUAGCUGGUCUGAGAGGACGAUCAGCCACACUGGGACUGAGACACGGCCCAGACUCCUACGGGAGGCAGCAGUGGGGAAUAUUGGACAAUGGGGGCAACCCUGAUCCAGCCAUGCCGCGUGAGUGAUGAAGGCCUUCGGGUUGUAAAGCUCUUUUGGCGGGAACGAUGAUGACGGUACCCGCAGAAUAAGCCCCGGCUAACUUCGUG
rnacentral:rRNA from 1 species